rnacentral:rRNA from 1 species
AUUGAACGCUGGCGGCAGGCUUAACACAUGCAAGUCGAGCGGGGGAAGGUAGCUUGCUACCGGACCUAGCGGCGGACGGGUGAGUAAUGCUUAGGAAUCUGCCUAUUAGUGGGGGACAACAUCUCGAAAGGGAUGCUAAUACCGCAUACGUCCUACGGGAGAAAGCGGGGGCUCUUCGGACCUCGCGCUAACAGAUGAGCCUAGGUCGGAUUAGCUAGUUGGUGGGGUAAUGGCUCACCAAGGCGACGAUCCGUAACUGGUCUGAGAGGAUGAUCAGUCACACUGGAACUGAGACACGGUCCAGACUCCUACGGGAGGCAGCAGUGGGGAAUAUUGGACAAUGGGCGAAAGCCUGAUUCAGCCAUGCCGCGUGUGUGAAGAAGGUCUUCGGAUUGUAAAGCACUUUAAGUCGGGAGGAAGGGCUGUAGGUUAAUACCCUGCGGUUUUGACGUUACCGACAGAAUAAGCACCGGCUAACUUCGUGCCAGCAGCCGCGGUAA